rnacentral:rRNA from 1 species
CCUACGGUGUGCAGCAGUGGGGAAUAUUGGACAAUGGGCGAAAGCCUGAUCCAGCCAUGCCGCGUGUGUGAAGAAGGCCUUCGGGUUGUAAAGCACUUUCAGUGGGGAAGAAAGCCUUGGGGCUAAUACCCUCGAGGAGGACAUCACCCACAGAAGAAGCACCGGCUAACUCCGUGCCAGCAGCCGCGGUAAUACGGAGGGUGCGAGCGUUAAUCGGAAUUACUGGGCGUAAAGCGCGCGUAGGCGGUCUGAUAAGCCGGUUGUGAAAGCCCCGGGCUCAACCUGGGAACGGCAUCCGGAACUGUCAGGCUAGAGUGCAGGAGAGGAAGGUAGAAUUCCCGGUGUAGCGGUGAAAUGCGUAGAGAUCGGGAGGAAUACCAGUGGCGAAGGCGGCCUUCUGGACUGACACUGACGCUGAGGUGCGAAAGCGUGGGUAGCAAACAGGAUUAGAUACCCUAGUAGUC